rnacentral:rRNA from 1 species
CGGGACGGGUGAGUAAUGCUUGGGAAUCUAGCUUAUGGGGGGGGAUAACUACGGGAAACUGUAGCUAAUACCGCGUAGAAUCGGGAGAUGAAAGUGUGGGACCUUCGGGCCACAUGCCAUAGGAUGAGCCCAAGUGGGAUUAGGUAGUUGGUGAGGUAAAGGCUCACCAAGCCGACGAUCUCUAGCUGGUCUGAGAGGAUGACCAGCCACACUGGGACUGAGACACGGCCCAG